rnacentral:rRNA from 1 species
GACGAACGCUGGCGGCGUGCUUAACACAUGCAAGUCGAACGGAAAGGCCCUGCUUUUGUGGGGUGCUCGAGUGGCGAACGGGUGAGUAACACGUGAGUAACCUGCCCUUGACUUUGGGAUAACUUCAGGAAACUGGGGCUAAUACCGGAUAGGAGCUCCUGCUGCAUGGUGGGGGUUGGAAAGUUUCGGCGGUUGGGGAUGGACUCGCGGCUUAUCAGCUUGUUGGUGGGGUAGUGGCUUACCAAGGCUUUGACGGGUAGCCGGCCUGAGAGGGUGACCGGCCACAUUGCGCCUGAGAUACGGCCCAGACUCCUACGGGAGGCAGCAGUGGGGAAUAUUGCACAAUGGGCGGAAGCCUGAUGCAGCAACGCCGCGUGCGGGAUGACGGCCUUCGGGUUGUAAACCGCUUUCGCCUGUGACGAAGCGUGAGUGACGGUAAUGGGUAAAGAAGCACCGGCUAACUACGUG